UCAGCCCCCUUAAGUUAAUACUUUGUAGCGUCACCUUUUGCUGCGAUUACAGCUGUAAGUCGCUUGGGGUAUGUCUCUAUCAGUUUUGCACAUCGAGAGACUGAAUUUUUUUCCCAUUCCUCCUUGCAAAAUAGCUCGAGCUCAGUGAGGUUGGAUGGAGAGCAUUUGUGAACAGCAGUUUUCAGUUCUUUCCACAGAUUCUCGAUUGGAUUCAGGUCUGGACUUUGACUUGGCCAUUCUAACACCUGGAUAUGUUUAUUUUUGAACCAUUCCAUUGUAGAUUUUGCUUUAUGUUUUGGAUCAUUGUCUUGUUGGAAGACAAAUCUCCGUCCCAGUCUCAGGUCUUUUGCAGACACCAUCAGGUUUUCUUCCAGAAUGGUCCUGUAUUUGGCUCCAUCCAUCUUCCCAUCAAUUUUAACCAUCUUUCCUGUCCCUGCUGAAGAAAAGCAGGCCCAAACCAUGAUGCUGCCACCACCAUGUUUGACAGUGGGGAUGUUGUAUUCAGGGUGAUGAGCUGUGUUGCUUUUACGCCAAACAUAACGUUUUGCAUUGUUGCCAAAAAGUUCAAUUUUGGUUUCAUCUGACCAGAGCACCUUCUUCCACAUGUUUGGUGUGUCUCCCAGGUGGCUUGUGGCAAACUUUAAACGACACUUUUUAUGGAUAUCUUUAAGAAAUGGCUUUCUUCUUGUCACUCUUCCAUAAAGGCCAGAUUUGUGCAAUAUACGACUGAUUGUUGUCCUAUGGACAGAGUGUCCCACUCUGCAGUUCAUCCAGAGUGAUCAUGGGCCUCUUGGCUGCAUCUCUGAUCAGUCUUCUCCUUGUAUGAGCUGAAAGUUUAGAGGGACGGCCAGGUCUUGGUAGAUUUGCAGUGGUCUGAUACUCCUUCCAUUUCAAUAUUAUCGCUUGCACAGUGCUCCUUGGGAUGUUUAAAGCUUGGGAAAUAUUUUUGUAUCCAAAUCCGGCUUUAAACUUCUUCACAACAGUUUCUCGGACCUGCCUGGUGUGUUCCUUGUUCUUCAUGAUGCUCUCUGCACUUUUAACGGACCUCUGAGACUAUCACAGUGCAGGUGCAUUUAUACGGAGACUUGAUUACACACAGGUGGAUUGUAUUUAUCAUCAUUUGUCAUUUAGGUCAACAUU